rnacentral:rRNA from 1 species
UGUCCGNNNNACAACUACGAGUUAUACUUAAAACUUAAAAGACUUGACGGUGCUUCACCACGCCCUAGAGGAGCCUGUCUAAUAACCGAUAAUCCACGAUUAACCCAGCCCCCUCUGGCCCAACAGUCUAUAUACCGCCGUCGCCAGCUUACCUUGUAAAAGAAAUAAAGUGAGCUAAACAGCACCACACUCAAACGACAGGUCGAGGUGUAACUAAUGAAGGGGACUAAGAUGGGCUACAUUCUCUUAUCCGAGAAUACNAACAACACUAUGAAAUUAGGUUUAAAGGCGGAUUUAGCAGUAAGAUAAGAAUAAAACACUUAACUGAACAUAACGCAAUGAAGUGCGUACACACCGCCCGUCACCCCUGCCACCACAAUACAUCUUUAAUAAACCAACCAAAAACUAAAACCAGGGCAAGUCGUAACAUGGUAAGUGUACUGGAAAGUGUACUUAGAAA